rnacentral:rRNA from 1 species
UGGUGCAUGGCUGUCGUCAGCUCGUGUCGUGAGAUGUUGGGUUAAGUCCCGCAACGAGCGCAACCUUACCCUUAGUUGUUUUCCCGUAAAGGAUUACCCUCUAAGGGGACUGCCCCGGACAACGGGGAGGAAGGUGGGGAUGACGUCAAGUCCGCAUGCUCCUUACGUCUAGGGCUACACACGUCCUACAAUGGGGUCGACAGUGGGAUGCAAAGCCGCGAGGUGGAGCCAAUCCCCCAAACGGCCUCUCAGUUCGGAUAGUAGUCUGCAACUCGACUACUUGAAGUCGGAAUCGCUAGUAAUGGCGGAUCAGCAUGCCGCCGUGAAUACGUUCCCGGGUCUU